rnacentral:lncRNA from 1 species
UUUUAGAUCGUGAGUGAGAAUGUGAUCAGAAAUGGGAAUGAAGGGUAUAGUAAUCAGGAUAUGGGAACGAGUAUGUUAAGGAAAGUAUAAGAAAUGAUUUACUCUCCAGGUGGGAUCGGGUUCUCAUUCCACGUCACAAAAUUGCUAAUCCAAAUACCAACACGUGAGUUUGAGAUUCCGUUCAUCGUUAAAUGAGCUCGUUAACCCUGAAGCAAAUGCCUCCUAAUCAUAUUAAUUUAUAAACAUAAUAUCGUUACUAAAGAGGGCAGAUCUCAGACACUUGUCAUAAACAAUUAUAAACUGGCAUAUAGGAAUAUUAACAAUAUAUCCCCAAUAUGCAAAAAAAAUCAUGUUAUCUGAUUAAAGUGCUCCUAUAUAUAGGCCUUUAUUCUAUGUUUUAUGCACCAAACCAGCACAAGCUACUACUACUUGCAUACUAACUCAGACACAGAUUUUGAUCUCACAGACCCAAAAAUAUCAUAUAUGGCAGAGAGUAUUAGGAUGAGGCUAGAAAACUUUGGAAGAAAGCCAAGAAGUGGCAAAAGUACUACUACUGCAUCUUCUCCUUCUCCGCCUUCACAGCCAUUGUGUAAGUAUCAAUAUCAGCCGAAUCAAACCCGUGUUUGUCAGGUGGCUCCUACAGCUUCUCAUGCUAUCAUUGAGACUGCAGUUUUCAUGGACUUCUACAACGGUCGCGCUGAGGCUCCGAAUAAGGAUUAUUUCUUGAGAAAGCCAAUAAGCAUGGCUUAACAUGCUUGCUCUCUUGUUUUAUUUGGAGCUCUAGGAAAAGUUUAAUUAGAGUGCAUGCUUUCUUUACAAACAUAUAUGCAUGCGCUGUGUAUUUUAAGAUUAUGUAGGUUAGUGGGGGUUAUAACUUAUAAGUCGCACCAGCCUCUCCUUCAGUCCUGAAGUGUAGUUAGUGUUGUGUACUAUGGCUGGUAGCUGAACUUUGUACUGUUUUACUUGUGUUAUUGUGUAUAUCUGUUUGGAGAAUGAUUGUCUUUAAUCUUACUAGAAAAUGGAAAUGUUUCUUAUACGUAAGAGUUGAUACUCUUGAUGAUCAGGUAAUUUUAUCUUAUAAUUUGUUUUUGGAAAAAUUUCUCCAAAAAUAAUCAUAUUGUGAGG